UAGAAAAUAGUUGUAAACAUGGAAGUUACCUGUCAAAGUAAAAACUCGAUUAUUUUUUAUUAAUUCGGGUAUAGUCUGUAAAUCGGCUAUUCCAGAGUUUACAUAAAUAUUUAGUUUAAAGAAAUGCUUUAUCUAUUUGAAGAGAAUUUUGAUUACAACUUACUUUUGAAUUCUGAAAAAUUGACAUCUGAGGAUGCAUGGAUUCAAAAUAAAACGCGCCUACAAAGUUGUUUGAAAUGGCUCUGUACUUCACCGAAAAUUAGUUCAUACAGGGUGAAUACCUUAUUGUACACGACGGAAGAAAUUAUGGAAAAAUUAAAACAAAAUGUUGUAAAGAUAUCCAAAAAUAGAAAGAUUUCAAUUCCUAAUGUUUGUAUUUACCAAA